ACUUUCCCUCUGCAAGAGGAUGUCUUGCCUGGAGAGGAUCUCUCGCCCUGUUUCUCAAGGUUUUGUGAGGGCUUUGGUUGGGUGUGGCCUCCGACCAUUAGACCAUUAAUUCUUUUCUUCCCUUCCUGCAUGACCCUCUCCUUCCGUUACUUCUUCCUUUUGUUUUCUGUUAUUUCCAAACAGGUAUUUUAGAACUCUGAGGCUGCAGCGCUCUCAGAGGCAGUGAAACGUGGGCUUACAGAGUGUCCCUGAGUUUGGGGGCUCUGUGUCACAAGUAAGCAAAUGAACUUAUGGGAGAAAUAGAGAGAGACGUUAGAUUCUCAGUAAUACUUAAAUGGCUUGUUUUCCACCGACCUGUGCUUAAUACAAGUAAAGGGUACAAUGGUAAAACCUUUCAUGGACAUUCUUUAAAAAAAAUUUUAAGAACCCUGUACUAUAAAAGAUUGAGUGAAAACAGGAAAGAGUGCUCUAAGUUCCAAUCCAUUGUAUUAUCCUAAAUUAAGUCAACCUGGAGUUAACAGUAGCUUUCUCAAUAGGUCAAGAACCCGAAAAGUGCUAUGUAAGAUAUCUGCCCAAAGGCAUUUUAUACAUUGUUUUAUUUUAUAAUGUGGUCUAGCCCAAACAUUUAUUAGCUUAAUUUAAUGGGUGUUAUUAGAUUCAUAAAAUGUCUGAAAAUGGCUAACAUUUCCUUAGUAUUGUAACACUGCUUGAAAUAUUUGAAAGAAAAAUGUUUUUUGAGUUGAAACUCGUGUGUAUAAUUCAAUGUCUGGUAGGUCAGUACAUUUUCAUGCAUUUUUCAGAGUCAACAGUUUGAAAUAUUGUUACCAUAUGUUAUAAAACUUUAGCCUACAUUUCAGCCUCUCUGAAUUACUUGAGCCAUUUAAUUGUUUCCAACAAAUGGUGAAUUUUUCCUUUCCAUGUGGAUAUGUGUUGUAAUUUAUGAUUCCUCGCUAUGUAUUUUUGUGGAAUCCUGAAGUAACGUUGACUUUUUGUGUGCUUGGAAAAUUUAAAUCGCUCUAACGGUGUUGCACAGAAUGAGAUCAUGACAUUUAACAAGUUGUAUUUUAAUUAUUAACUUUAAUUGUUAACUUACUGUGAAAUGAAUAUGCCUUUUAACUACCAUGAAAUUGAACAUUGCAGUUUUCCAAAUAUUUUUCAUUGUUGAAUCUGGAAAAAUGAUUCUCCUUUGAUCUACAUAGAAAAACAUGAAAUAGUUAAUCUUUAAAAAGUUCUUAGGUAAAAUAUUCAUCCAUUGAAAAGGAAGCAGAAGUACUGAGAAGUGAAAGGCGUUAUCAACCAACUCUAGUUUUAAACUGAGCCCAUCCCAGCAUAUCUCACAUGAAACUUUUAAAAGUAGGUUAAGAAUUCACCUCAUAUCAACAACAGCCUUUGAAACAUAGGUUUUCACUAGAUAUCACCUAGUGCUAAGAUAAAAACCAAAACAAUAUCAGGUUGACAUUUAUGCUCUAAAUUUGUAGUUGUCUAAUGUUGUACUUAGUAAAUGUGCAUCAUUAAUGCGAUAUUCUCCUAGGUAUUAUAGAAAACUGUUCAAAUAAAGAUAUGGAUAUAAAGGAUUUUUGUUGAGACCACAUUCUGGGCUAUAAACACGCCUUUAAAAUUUAAAAGAAUAGAAAUCAUGUAGUGUAUACUUUCAGGUGACAACAGAAUUAAACUAGAAAUCAAUGACAAAAAUAGCUGGAAAAUCCCUAAAUACUUGGAGAUUAAACAACACACUUCUAAUAACACAUGAGUCAAAGAAGAAAUCUCAAGAGAAAUUUUAAAAUAUUUUGAAAUAAAUGAAAAUACAACUUAUCAAAAUUUGUGGGAUGCAAUGAAAGUACUACUUAGAGGUAAAUUUAUAGCAUUGAAUGCAUAUAUUAGAAAAGAAGAAAGACCUAAAAAUCAGUCAUCUAAGCGUCCAUGUUAGGAAACUAAGAAAAGAAAAGGAAAUUAAAUGCAAAGUAAGCUGAAGAAAAAAAAUAAAAAUUAGAGCAGAAAUCAAUGAAAUAGGGGACAGGAAAUCAAUAGAGAAAAUCAAUGAAACCAAAAGCUUAUCAAAAAAAAGAGGGAUGAUGACAUAGUAAAUUAGUGGUUGCUUAGGGCUAGGAGGAAUGGGGAUGGGGGGGAGUGGGGAAUGGGGCAAUAACUAAAGGGCAUGGAGUUUCUUUUUGAGAUGACAAAAAUGUUUUAAUUGACUAUGGUAAUAGUUCAACACAUCUGUGAAUAUACUAAAAACCACUGAGUUGUAUACUUUAAAUGGGUGAAGUAUAUGGUAUGAGAAUUAUAUCCC
rnacentral:lncRNA from 1 species